rnacentral:lncRNA from 1 species
CGCUGAUGCCGCGGGCCGCAAGGUGUGCUCGGCCGGGCCGUGUUUGCGCGGGUGCCCGGGCAGCGCUGCGCUCCCCGGCAGCGCUGCGCUCGGCCCAGGGCUAUAAUUAGAUUAGCAGCCUGCUCGGCAGCGGUGCCAGCCUGCGAGCCUCAGCGAGCAUGUGCUGGAUUCUGCAUGUGCCUCCCGCUUAUUGGCGGCCGGCGUUGCUGCCUGCCGGUUUGAUAGGUUUCCCCAGUAAUCUUUAUGCUGCAUUACAGACAUAGAUACAGAGAGGUACUGCGUGCAUGCAACGGGAGAGGUGCUCAGCUUGUAGCGUAAAGGAAAGCCCACAGAUGAAAGGCACUGGUCUUUGUUGCAAGGCAUCAGUACUUAAGGACUGCUAGCCUGGGAGCGGAGAGAGUCCUCUGGAGCAUUACAUUCCCCUGUUUGGAGUGUGGACAAGAGUUUGGCAUUCUGCUUUUACAGAUUGGACAAAGAUUUCGAGUCCACACCAAGGGAACCCAGUCUGAGGAGGCUCACAAAUGGCCAGACCAACCAACUGAGCCCUUCUUCUACUGCCCUACAAGAAACUGCAAGAAAAAACUGCUUAGCACAAGGUGACCAAUGCAGUGAAGGUCUCAUCUGGGUGUCACUUAAACUGAAACCAAUUAAGAAACAUCUGCAGACAACAGAACAGUGUCAAGUGUGAACAAUGAAAUCUCUUCUAAGAGAAGAGAGAGAGUAGAGCACGCUCUCAGCAAGACUGGGAAAGCUCUGUCCAAACAAAAACCAUGUUUAUGUCCUCACUGUAACUCCAGUGUGUUGCAACCUGUCUCUCAAGAGCACUGUAAACCAAGACUGAGCUGGCCCAGACAUUGCAAUCAGCAAUACUAAUCAAAUUUCAAACACCAUCAUCAGCUAGUGUGGUUUAGGUACAGUUCUUAUAAGACAUAGGAACAUAAAGCAAUGAUUGCUUGCUUAUGAAGAAGAUAUUUUACUUUAAACUGAUUUUUUUUUCUUUUUUUUUAAUUCUCAAGAUCUCACUAGAGAGCCUUGUAAAGGUUAUAUGGAGACAUUUUGCCUGUCUCUAACCCAAUUUCAUUUCUUUUAUGCUUCAUCUGAAGUCACUGGAAUUGUCAUGUUUCUUUAUGGGAUAAUUAUAACAUCCCUGUAAGGUUUUAUUACCUAAACACACUGGUAUAUAUUCUCAACACUAACUCUAGUUUAAUAUGUAUUUUUAAAUAAUUAAUAUGUAGCCUAGACAAGCAUGUGGUGCAGGAGAGAAAUUAGAAGUCAGGAGUGUCUCUGAGGGAAAGAUGUACCCUGUCCACAUUACUACCCUCCCCAUAAGAAUGGCCAAGAGGGUUUAGACUCAAAAAAAAUUGGAACCAUCACAUUGCUGGUUCCUUUCUGCUGCUAAAACAGACUUUUACACAAUAUUGUCAACCUGAAGAAGCAAAAAAAAAAAAUGAGAUAAGGCCUCCACAUCAGGAUCAUGCGGUUGAAAAUAAAAUGGAGAAAAGGGCCA